CCUACGGGUGGCAGCAGUGAGGAAUAUUGGUCAAUGGCCGCAAGCCUGAACCAGCCAAGUCGCGUGAAGGAUUACUGCCCUACGGGUUGUAAACUUCUUUUAUAAAGGAAUAAAGUGAGGCACGUGUGCCUUUUUGUAUGUACUUUAUGAAUAAGGAUCGGCUAACUCCGUGCCAGCAGCCGCGGUAAUACGGAGGUUACGAGCGUUAUCCGGAUUUAUUGGGUUUAAAGGGGGCGUAGGUGGUUUGGUAAGUCAGUCGUUAAAGUUUGGGGCUCAACCGUAAAAUUGCAAUUGAUACUGGCAGUCUUGAGUGCAGUUGAGGUAGGCGGAAUGCGUGGUGUAGCGGUGAAAUGCUUAGAUAUCACGAAGAACUCCGAUUGCGAAGGCAGCUUACUAAGCUGCAACUGACAUUGAUGCUCGAAAGUGUGGGUAUCAAACAGGAUUAGAUACCCUAGUAGUC
rnacentral:rRNA from 1 species